rnacentral:rRNA from 1 species
UACGGGGGGGGCAAGCGUUGUUCGGAAUUACUGGGCGUAAAGGGCUCGUAGGCGGCCAACUAAGUCAGACGUGAAAUCCCUCGGCUUAACCGGGGAACUGCAUCUGAUACUGGAUGGCUUGAGAUUGGGAGAGGGAUGCGGAAUUCCAGGUGUAGCGGUGAAAUGCGUAGAUAUCGGGAGGAACACCGGUGGCGAAGGCGGUUCUCUGGGCCUGACCUGACGCUGAGGAGCGAAAGCGUGGGGAGCGAACAGG